rnacentral:lncRNA from 1 species
AGAGAACUAAAGAAGUAUAGAAAAUCAGAGGUGACUGAAAAACUAAAAGAAAAAUCCAUGUUAUAUUGAAUUUCUGAUUUUGAUUUUUGUCAUUCAAAAAAAGGGAAAAUCUGGUUCAUUUAGAGAAUUUGGGAUGGUUUGAUUUUGAAUACAAAAGGGUUUUGGGUUGAGUUUUUUGGAGGUUCACUGUUUAAUUGAUUUGGGGGUUGAAUUUGUUUUGUUUUGGGUCUUAAGUAUGGGCUACUUAGUUGCUGAGUUUUGAAGUUGCUUCUGGUCUAUUUGCAUCAUUUCCUGGGUGGAGAAACUGGUUGUUUAUUGUUGAUUCUGUCCUGCUAGCUGCUGAUUUCCUCACUCCUUUUCUUUUCCAUUUUCAGGUAUUCCUAUCAACACUUGGUCAUCAUCUAAAUGUAAUGAAGUUGGGGAUUGGAGUAUGGAAAAAUGUGUAAAGUAGUCUAUAGUCAGCUAUAUUUGCUUUCUUCAGUUACUUAUGCUGUAAGAUUUAAUUUUGGAAGUGCUUUGGUUUAAAUGUUGAUAAGUGUACUUAGGGAUGAUGAGUAAUAUGUAAGCCAUGAUUAGCUCGAUGUAAUUUAUUUCUCUCCAAGUCAUGUUAUUGUGUUUUGAG